UGUUCUGUUGUUCUGGUGUGUUCCAGGUGUCCUGUGUUGUGUCCUAGCUGUUCUGUUGUUCUGGUGUGUUCCAGGUGUCCUGUGUUGUGUCCUAGCUGUCCUGUUGUUCUGGUAUGUUCCAGGUGUCCUGUGUUGUGUCCUAGCUGUUCUGUUGUUCUGGUAUGUUCCAGGUGUCCUGUGUUGUGUCCUAGCUGUUCUGUUGUUCUGGUAUGUUCCAGGUGUCCUGUGUUGUGUCCUAGCUGUUCUGUUGUUCUGGUAUGUUCCAGGUGUCCUGUGUUGUGUCCUAGCUGUCCUGUUGUUCUGGUGUGUUCCAGGUGUCCUGUGUUGUGUCCUAGCUGUUCUGUUGUUCUGGUGUGUUCCAGGUGUCCUGUGUUGUGUCCUAGCUGUUCUGUUGUUCUGGUAUGUUCCAGGUGUCCUGUGUUGUGUCCUAGCUGUUCUGUUGUUCUGGUGUGUUCCAGGUGUCCUGUGUUGUGUCCUAGCUGUCCUGUUGUUCUGGUGUGUUCCAGGUGUCCUGUGUUGUGUCCUAGCUGUCCUGUUGUUCUGGUGUGUUCCAGGUGUCCUGUGUUGUGUCCUAGCUGUCC